UGUAGGGUAGUUAAUAGGCAAAUCCGUUAACAGUAAACCUGAGACACGAGUCCGAGCCGCUUUUUAGGCGAAGUCAUUAAUUCCAUACUUCCAAGAAAAACUUCUAGUUAGUUUUAUUAGUGCCCGUACCCCAAACCGACACAGGUGGACAAGUAGAGAAUACUAAGGCGAGCGAGAGAACUCUGGUUAAGGAACUCGGCAAAAUAGUUCCGUAACUUCGGGAGAAGGAACGCCCAAGUAAAGUGAUUAAUUAACUUUAUAAGCUUGAACGGGCCGCAGUGAUCAGACUCAAGCGACUGUUUAUCAAAAACACAGGAGGAUGCAAAGUUCUAAUACAACGUAUACCCUCUGACACCUGCCCGGUGCUGGAAGGUUAAGUGGAGAGGUUAGCUUCGGCGAAGCUUUGAAAUUAAGCCCCAGUAAACGGCGGCCGUAACUAUAACGGUCCUAAGGUAGCGAAAUUCCUUGUCGGGUAAGUUCCGACCUGCACGAAUGGUGUAACGAUUUGAGUACUGUCUCAACCAGAGACUCGGCGAAAUUGCAAUGUGAGUAAAGAUGCUCACUAUGCGCGACAGGACGGAAAGACCCCGGAACCUUUACUGCAACUUGAUAUUGAAUGUUGGUGUGCAGUAUGCAGGAUAAGUGGGAGACUUUGAAACAAUGGCGCUAGUCGUUGUGGAGUCAUCCUUGAGAUACCACUUUCUUCAUAUUGACCUUCUAACCUAGAUCCGUUAUCCGGAUCAGGGACAUUGUCUGGUAGGCAGUUUCACUGGGGCGGUGGCCUCCUAAAAAGUAACGGAGGCGCUCAAAGGUCACCUCAGCGUGGACGGCAAUCACGCAUUGAGUGUAAGUGCAAAAGGUGGCUUGACUGUGACACAAACAAGUGAAGCAGGUACGAAAGUAGGAACUAGUGAUCCCAUGGUUGCAUGUGGGUGCGCCAUGGCUCAUCGGCUAAAAGGUACUCCGGGGAUAACAGGCUUAUACCCCCCAAGAGUCCAUAUCGACGGGGGUGUUUGGCACCUCGAUGUCGGCUCUUCUCAUCCUGGGGCUGGAGCAGGUCCCAAGGGUUAGGCUGUUCGCCUAUUAAAGAGGAACGCGAGCUGGGUUCAGAACGUCGUGAGACAGUUCGGUCCCUAUCCGUCGCGCACGUAAGAAAUUUGAAGAAAGUUGUCCCUAGUACGAGAGGACCGGGAUGAACGAUCCGCUGGUGUGCCAGUUGUUCUGCCAAGAGCACGGCUGGUUAGCUACGAUCGGAGAGGAUAAGCGCUGAAAGCAUCUAAGUGCGAAGCCCCUUCUAAGAUAAGAUUUCUCAUCGGGUUAACCGAUUAAGACUCCUUAUAGAACAUGAGGUUGAUAGGUCAGAAGUGUAAUUACAGUAAUGUAUGUAGCUGACUGAUACUAAUAAGUCGAGGGCUUGAGCUG
rnacentral:rRNA from 1 species